UUCAAAAUCAUAACGAUAACAUCAUUUUACGAGUAUUUGUGUCUCAAUCGUAACUGAACCAUAUUUCUUUAUAUCUUUGCGAAAUGAAAAUUUUUACACUCUUUAUUUUUGGCGCUUUCCUAGGAUUAUGUGUAUCUGAACCUCCUCAAAUAGAUACAAGAUAUGCAUGUGAAGGAAAAACACUAAACAUUGAAUGUAACAACGGCUCAGUUAUACGUCUUAUUCGAGCAAACUAUGGACGAUUUUUAAUAACAAUUUGUAAUAAAACCGGGAACACCAAAUGGAAUACCAACUGUUUCUCAACCCAAUCUAUGCGCGUUGCACAUAAUAGAUGUCACAUGAAACAGUCUUGUAGUUUACUAGCGAAUGCUGAUGAAUUUGGAGAUCCUUGUCCAGGCACGGACAAAUAUUUAGAAAUACACUAUCAAUGUGUACAAGCUCCAACUACUACUACUACUGAGUAUUCGGCACCACCAGCUUGGUUCGUCACAGUUCCUACAAACUGAACUAUACAGACAAGUUAUAAAUUGACUUAAUAUAAUCAACAUGUCCUUGAGGUUAGGUCAAUAAAACAACCAAGUAAAUAGUAA